GGUGAUCGAUGUUGGCUUGAGUUCUCCCAACCCCAGCUCCUUGUAUACAGAGUAUGGAAGCAAGUUAACACUUGCCCCCAAAUCAAGCAAUGCCUUCUCCACUUGGGUUCCUCCAAUAUUGACUGAGAUUGUAGGACACCCCGGAUCUUUGUAUUUGAUUGGAGACUUGCAUUGGAUUAUAGCACUCACUUGCUCGGUUAGGAAGGCUUGCUUUGUAACAUUGAGUCCUCUUUUC
rnacentral:lncRNA from 1 species